rnacentral:rRNA from 1 species
UACAUAGGGUGCGAGCGUUGUCCGGAUUUAUUGGGCGUAAAGAGCUCGUAGGCGGCUUAGCAAGUCGGGUGUGAAAACUCCAGGCUCAACCUGGAGACGCCACUCGAGACUGCUAUGGCUAGAGUCCGGUAGGGGACCACGGAAUUCCUGGUGUAGCGGUGAAAUGCGCAGAUAUCAGGAGGAACACCGGUGGCGAAGGCGGUGGUCUGGGCCGGCACUGACGCUGAGGAGCGAAAGCGUGGGGAGCAAACAGG